rnacentral:rRNA from 1 species
CCUACGGGUGGCAGCAGUGGGGAAUAUUGGACAAUGGGGGCAACCCUGAUCCAGCCAUGCCGCGUGUGUGAAGAAGGCCCUCGGGUUGUAAAGCACUUUCAGUGAGGAAGAACGCCUGGUGGUUAAUACCCAUCAGGAAAGACAUCACUCACAGAAGAAGCACCGGCUAACUCCGUGCCAGCAGCCGCGGUAAUACGGAGGGUGCGAGCGUUAAUCGGAAUUACUGGGCGUAAAGCGCGCGUAGGUGGCUUGAUAAGCCGGUUGUGAAAGCCCCGGGCUCAACCUGGGAACGGCAUCCGGAACUGUCAAGCUAGAGUGCAGGAGAGGAAGGUAGAAUUCCCGGUGUAGCGGUGAAAUGCGUAGAGAUCUGGAGGAAUACCAGUGGCGAAGGCGGCCUUCUGGACUGUCACUGACACUGAGGUGCGAAAGCGUGGGUAGCAAACAGGAUUAGAUACCCCAGUAGUC